GCGUGGAGACAGGUGGUGCAUGGCUGUCGUCAGCUCGUGUCGUGAGAUGUUGGGUUAAGUCCCGCAACGAGCGCAACCCUCACUCCUUGUUGCCAUCAGGUGAUGCUGGGCACUCUAGGGGAACUGCCCCGGUCAACGGGGAGGAAGGUGGGGAUGACGUCAAGUCAUCAUGCCCCUUACGCCCUGGGCUACACACGCGCUACAAUGGCCGGUACAAAGGGAUGCAAUACCGCGAGGUGGAGCUAAACCCAGAAAGCCGGUCUAAGUUCAGAUUGGAGUCUGCAACUCGACUCCAUGAAGGAGGAAUCGCUAGUAAUCGCGCAUCAGCACGGCGCGGUGAAUACGUUCCCGGGCCUUGUACACACCGCCUGUCACACCACGAAAGCCAGCUGUACUCGAAGUCGCUGAG
rnacentral:rRNA from 1 species